rnacentral:lncRNA from 1 species
UUAUAUAUUUUAUAAUUAUAUUAAUAUUGUUUUAAGUGAGACGCAAGAGUUGAAAUUAUUUUAAUCCAAUAUGGCAACCAUUUUAGCGACCACUUUAUAUGAUUGUUGUUUUUGUAAAUAAACUGGAGGAGCUAUGGUCGUUUUAUUUAUUUUGUAGACCACUGCCUAUUUUUUUCAAUUUUUUAUGGCAGCUGCACCACCCUAAAUCCCUAAGUCCCAAAUUUCAAAUCGAAGUGUGACAUUUCAGCCAGUUUCAUAGAAGCUCCGCCACCCUCCCCUGCUGUUCUCCGGUUAAUGCCACCCUCCACCGCUGUUCUCCGGUUAACGUCUCAUUUUUUUCGGUUGUUUAUGUUUUUUAUUACUUUUUGUGUUGACAAUUUUGUGGUUGUUUUGCUCUGAUAAUAUGGAAAGGUGAUUUUGGGUUUAAAUUUCAGUAACUAUUAUGUUUUGCUUUGUUUUAUAUUUUUGCAUGUAAGGCCUUUUUUUUUUCUGUAAGAAUUGAUCUAGACUACUGGACUCUGACUAUUAUGAUUGGAGGAACUUCAGGAUUUGUAUAUUUGGACUUCUUUUUUAUCUUUUAACUCCAUUUUCUAUCAUGUGUAAAGGAAAGUCUUGUAUUUGCUUUUGUCUUUUAUGUUCUCUUUCCAUUUUCUGCCAAAAAUGGCAUGAGGGGUCUUAUUGGCCAUUGCUGAAUCAAAAGCUCCCAAUUUAAGAAAUUGGUCCCAAUUGAGAGCUUUAAUAAAAUGAAAAACACUUUGGCAAGAUUAUGGUCAAUAGUAUAAUUUCAAAAUCAUUAGUUAUAAAUCACAGCCAAGCAUGAAAUGCCAAUCUUGUCUAAUUUCUUUACUGUUUAUUUUUCCUUUAUUAGAAAAUUAACCUUUUUAUUUUGAAC